rnacentral:misc_RNA from 1 species
UCCGGCUUGACGCCGGCAGUCUCGUUAGAGUCCUCAGCAUUACCUGGUAGCAACUAACGAUAGGGGUUUCGCUCGUUAAGGGACUUAACCCGACACUUCACAGCACGAGCUGACGACAGCCAUGCAGCACCUGUGAUCGUUCCACGGAAACCGCGUCACCCGGCUUUCACCGAGCUAAUCCGACCAUGUCAAGCCCAGGAUAAGGUUCUUCGCGUUGCUUCGAAUUAAGCCACAUGCUCCACCGCUUGUGUGAGCCCCCGUCAAUUCCUUUGAGUUUUAGCCUUGCGACCGUACUCCCCAGGCGGUGCACUUAACACUUUUGCUUCGACCGUGAUGGCGUCAAAACCUCCACAAUCUAGUGCACAUCGUUUAGGGCGUGGACUAC